rnacentral:rRNA from 1 species
UAGUGGAUUGGUCUGUCUGCUUAAUUGCGAUAACGAACGAGAUCUUAUCCAUCUAACUAGAACUUGAAUUGAUGUAUCGUCAUAUUACUUUUCCCCUUGUGGGUAGGUUAUUGACAUACAUUCACAAUGAGAGAACUUCUUAGAGGAACUGAAUGCGAUCAUAAUAGCAUGAGGAAGUGAGGCUAUAACA